GAUGUGGUGGCCUAAUGGUUAGUGCGUUGGACUCCGGUUUGAGCAGCCGGGUUCGAGCCCUGGCCAGGGUCU